CCUACGGGUGGCAGCAGUGGGGAAUAUUGCACAAUGGGGGAAACCCUGAUGCAGCGACGCCGCGUGAGUGAAGAAGUAUUUCGGUACGUAAAGCUCUAUCAGCAGGGAAGAAAAUGACGGUACCUGACUAAGAAGCCCCGGCUAACUACGUGCCAGCAGCCGCGGUAAUACGUAGGGGGCAAGCGUUAUCCGGAUUUACUGGGUGUAAAGGGAGCGUAGACGGCAGCGCAAGUCUGGAGUGAAAUCCCAUGGCUUAACCAUGGAACUGCUUUGGAAACUGUGCAGCUAGAGUGCAGGAGAGGUAAGCGGAAUUCCUAGUGUAGCGGUGAAAUGCGUAGAUAUUAGGAGGAACACCAGUGGCGAAGGCGGCCUACUGGAACAUUACUGACGCUCAUGCACGAAAGCGUGGGGAGCAAACAGGAUUAGAUACCCCUGUAGUC
rnacentral:rRNA from 1 species